rnacentral:rRNA from 1 species
UAGGGAAUCUUCGGCAAUGGACGAAAGUCUGACCGAGCAACGCCGCGUGAGUGAAGAAGGUUUUCGGAUCGUAAAACUCUGUUGUUAGAGAAGAACAAGGACGUUAGUAACUGAACGUCCCCUGACGGUAUCUAACCAGAAAGCCACGGCUAACUACGUGCCAGCAGCCGCGGUAAUACGUAGGUGGCAAGCGUUGUCCGGAUUUAUUGGGCGUAAAGCGAGCGCAGGCGGUUUCUUAAGUCUGAUGUGAAAGCCCCCGGCUGAACCGGGGAGGGUCAUUGGAAACUGGGAGACUUGAGUGCAGAAGAGGAGGGUGGAAUUCCAUGUGUAGCGGUGAAAUGCGUAGAUAUAUGGAGGAACACCAGUGGCGAAGGCGGCGCUCUGGUCUGUAACUGACGCUGAGGCUCGAAAGCGUGGGGAGCAAACA